rnacentral:rRNA from 1 species
UACGGGGGGAGCAAGCGUUGUUCGGAUUUACUGGGCGUAAAGGGCGCGUAGGCGGCCAGCGCAAGUCAGUUGUGAAAUCUCCGAGCUUAACUCGGAAAGGUCAACUGAUACUGUGCGGCUAGAGUGCAGAAGGGGCAACUGGAAUUCUUGGUGUAGCGGUGAAAUGCGUAGAUAUCAAGAGGAACACCUGCGGCGAAGGCGGGUUGCUGGGCUGACACUGACGCUGAGGCGCGAAAGCUAGGGGAGCGAACGGG